GACGAACCGUGCGAACGUUGUUCGGAAUCACUGGGCUUAAAGGGCGCGUAGGCGGCGCGUCGAGUCGGGGGUGAAAGCGUUCGGCUUAACCGGACCAGGGCCCCCGAUACUGACACGCUCGAGGGAGGCAGGGGCCGACGGAACUUCCGGUGGAGCGGUGAAAUGCGUUGAUAUCGGAAGGAACGCCGGUGGCGAAAGCGGUCGGCUGGACCUCUACUGACGCUGAGGCGCGAAAGCCAGGGGAGCGAACGGG
rnacentral:rRNA from 1 species